GCAUUGGUGGUUCAUUGGUAGAAUUCUCAUCUUGCAUGUAGAGACCCAGGUUUGAUUCCUGGCCAGUGAA
rnacentral:tRNA from 1 species